CCCCAUCACAAGAACUUUCAAAAUGUGAACAGAAUAUAAACUGAUGACUGAGUCUGCAAACAGCUUGAAACAACAGCGAUGAAAGAAAUAUGAACUCCUAUUAUUCAUCUUGAUGCGUGUUGAUGCUGAGGCCUAAUGAUGAAAGAUCCUGCCUUCCUGCUGAAUAGGUGAAAUGUUAAGGCCUCAGUGUCAUAGCUCGUUUGUCAAGGGCACCUGCAGGGUUGGAAGCUGCACCAGAAAGGAGAGAGAAAAGUUACCCCAAGCCCAUGAAAAUAAACAGAACUGAAGGGAUCUAAAUCAAAGAUCUGGACUUGAAAGGAUAGAAUUGCUUCCAGUCAUCUACCUGGAAGGAGGGAUAUUUGAUAACCAGGUGGCAGAGCAAAGGAAACGCUAAGGAUGGAUGACAAACAAACUGAUGGGCAGAAAACAGCAAAGUUUUAAACAAGUGCUGGAGA